rnacentral:rRNA from 1 species
AUACGGAGGGUGCAAGCGUUAAUCGGAAUUACUGGGCGUAAAGCGUACGUAGGCGGUUCGUUAAGUUAGAUGUGAAAGCCCCGGGCUUAACCUGGGAACUGCAUUUAAAACUGGCGAACUAGAGUUGAGUAGAGGGGAGUGGAAUUUCAGGUGUAGCGGUGAAAUGCGUAGAGAUCUGAAGGAACACCAGUGGCGAAGGCGACUCCCUGGACUCGAACUGACGCUGAGGUACGAAAGCGUGGGUAGCAAACGGGAUUAGAUACCCCUGUAGUCC